rnacentral:rRNA from 1 species
CCAUCAGGUCAAGCUGGGGACUCUAAUGAAACUGCCUACGCAAGUAGUGAGGAAGUGGGGAUGACGUCAAAUCAGCACGGCCCUUACGUCCAGGGCUACACACGUGCUACAAUGGCCGGUACAAAGGGCAGCUACCUGGUGACAGGAUGCUAAUCUCAAAAGCCGGUCUCAGUUCGGAUCGGAGUCUGCAACCCGACUCCGUGAAGUUGGAUUCGCUAGUAAUCGCGCAUCAGCCAUGGCGCGGUGAAUACGUUCCCGGGCCUU